rnacentral:rRNA from 1 species
AGCAGCCGCGGUAAUUCCAGCUCCAAUAGCGUAUAUUAAAGUUGUUGCAGUUAAAAAGCUCGUAGUUGAAUUUCGGGAUCAAUACGUCGGUCGUGCUUCGGUACGUACUGGCGUAAUUGAUUUCUCCCUCUGACGAACCAUGAUGUCAUUAACUUGGUGUCAUGGGAAAUCAGGACUGUUACUUUGAAAAAAUUAGAGUGUUUAAAGCAGGCUCACGCUUGAAUACAUUAGCAUGGAAUAAUGAAAUAGGACGUUCGAUCCUAUUUUGUUGGUUUUUAGGAUCAACGUAAUAUUAAUAGGGAUAGUUGGGGGUCAUUAGUAUUCAAUUGUCAGAGGUGAAAUUCUUGGAUUUAUUGAAGACUAACUACUGCGAAAGCAUUUGCCAAGGAUGUUUUCAUUAAUCAAGAACGAAAGUUAGGGGAUCGAAGACGAUCAGAUACCGUCGUAGUCUUAACCAUAAACUAUGCCGACUAGGGAUCGGAUGAUGUUAAUUUUUUAAUGACUCAUUCGGCGCCUUACG